GGUGGCUCAAUGGUAGAGCGCUUGCCUUGCAUGCAUAAGGCCCUGGGUUCGAUGCCCCAGCACCA
rnacentral:tRNA from 1 species